GUCAUGGCGUCGUGCACGCAGACCCGCAGCUCCCGUUGGCAUGGCCUGGUAGUCGUUGUCGUGGUCUUGGAUGACGGUGGUUCACCAUCUUGCUUCCAGCGCUGACGAGACAAUGGGUUUGUCGCCAGUAAUCUCAGCGUCGGCUCCCACGACUGCCUCCUCGGCUACCACUACUUAGUCUGGCGCAGUGGAGAGAAUCUGCCAAGAGGUCCUGGGUUCGGCGCAGUCCCUCUGCAUUGCACUGUCCAGGGGUAAGGCUUGCCUCGUAUGACUCCAUUGGCUUAAGGCGUCCGGAAUCGGGCGCUAUGGCGGCUGGUGAGGAGGUGGCUGCGGGGUGAAGUUUCCAGAAAAUGUAGCUGAUUCUUUGAGGUCAUCCAACCUUCUACAACCUCGGCUUCUCAACCGCCGCAGUGGGGGCCACCUCUUCCUUGGUUCAGGUGAGUCCUUGGUCUCUUUCUCUCUGAGAUUGUACAGCCGUCGAGUUUGGUAGACUGUUGUGCUGGCCAUGGAGCUGAUGAUUUUGUGUUUGGAUUUGAGGUGGUGGUCUUCCGGCCACCACAAUCUUGUGAUUGUGAUAUGAUAAAUCUUGUUGGUCGAUGAGGUUAGGCCCCUUUUCUACUGCACGGUGCUGUUGCUACAGGGUUGAUAAUGGUCCAUGUUUAGUUUAAUAGGAUCAAAAUGAUAUGGUUUUAACUUGUUAAUGGAUAUCACAUAGUCCCUCUGUGUAGGGCUGUAGGCA